rnacentral:rRNA from 1 species
AAUAUUGGACAAUGGAGGCAACUUUGAUCCAGCCAUGCCGUGUGCAGGAAGACUGCCCUAUGGGUUGUAAACUGCUUUUAUACAGGAAGAAACACUGCUACGUGUAGCAGCUUGACGGUACUGUAAGAAUAAGGAUCGGCUAACUCCGUGCCAGCAGCCGCGGUAAUACGGAGGAUCCAAGCGUUAUCCGGAAUCAUUGGGUUUAAAGGGUCCGUAGGUUGAUAAUUAAGUCAGAGGUGAAAUCUUGCAGCUCAACUGUAAAAUUGCCUUUGAUACUGUUUAUCUUGAGUUAUUAGGAAGUAGUUAGAAUACGUAGUGUAGCGGUGAAAUGCAUAGAUAUUACAUAGAAUACCAAUUGCGAAGGCAGAUUACUAAUAAUGAACUCACACUGAGGGACGAAAGCGUGGGGAGCGAACAGGAUUAGAUACCCUGGUAGUCCACGCCGUA